AGAGUUUGAUUCUGGCUCAGGAUGAACGCUGGCGGCGUGCUUAACACAUGCAAGUCGAGCGAAGCAAAUCAGAGGAAGUUUUCGGAUGGAAUCCGAUUUGACUGAGCGGCGGACGGGUGAGUAACGCGUGGGUAACCUGCCUCAUACAGGGGGAUAACAGUUAGAAAUGGCUGCUAAUACCGCAUAAGCGCACGAAGCUGCAUGGCAUCGUGUGAAAAACUCCGGUGGUAUGAGAUGGACCCGCGUCUGAUUAGCUAGUUGGUGAGGUAACGGCCCACCAAGGCGACGAUCAGUAGCCGACCUGAGAGGGUGACCGGCCACAUUGGGACUGAGACACGGCCCAAACUCCUACGGGAGGCAGCAGUGGGGAAUAUUGCACAAUGGGGGAAACCCUGAUGCAGCGACGCCGCGUGAGUGAAGAAGUAUUUCGGUAUGUAAAGCUCUAUCAGCAGGGAAGAAGAAAGACGGUACCUGACUAAGAAGCCCCGGCUAACUACGUGCCAGCAGCCGCGGUAAUACGUAGGGGGCAAGCGUUAUCCGGAUUUACUGGGUGUAAAGGGAGCGUAGACGGCGAUGCAAGUCUGAAGUGAAAGCCCAGGGCUCAACCCUGGGACUGCUUUGGAAACUGUGUUGCUAGAGUGCUGGAGAGGUAAGUGGAAUUCCUAGUGUAGCGGUGAAACGCGUAGAUAUUAGGAGGAACACCAGUGGCGAAGGCGGCUUACUGGACAGUAACUGACGUUGAGGCUCGAAAGCGUGGGGAGCAAACAGGAUUAGAUACCCUGGUAGUCCACGCGGUAAACGAU
rnacentral:rRNA from 1 species